GACGAACGCUGGCGGCGUGCCUAAUACAUGCAAGUAGAACGCUGAAGGAGGAGCUUGCUUCUCUGGAUGAGUUGCGAACGGGUGAGUAACGCGUAGGUAACCUGCCUGGUAGCGGGGGAUAACUAUUGGAAACGAUAGCUAAUACCGCAUAAUAGCAGUUGUUGCAUGACAACUGUUUGAAAGGUGCAAUUGCACCACUACCAGAUGGACCUGCGUUGUAUUAGCUAGUUGGUGGGGUAACGGCUCACCAAGGCGACGAUACAUAGCCGACCUGAGAGGGUGGUCGGCCACACUGGGACUGAGACACGGCCCAGAAUCCUACGGGAGGCAGCAGUAGGGAAUCUUCGGCAAUGGACGGAAGUCUGACCGAGCAACGCCGCGUGAGUGAAGAAGGUUUUCGGAUCGUAAAGCUCUGUUGUAAGAGAAGAACGAGUGUGAGAGUGGAAAGUUCACACUGUGACGGUAUCUUAACAGAAAGGGACGGCUAACUACGUG
rnacentral:rRNA from 1 species